GAACAAUUGGCUAACGCAGCUACUGACAAUACAAGUUAUUACCCGGAUAAAUUAUCUGUCUACAAGUCCGACAGAAGUGUCGUUAUAUAUAUAUAUAUAUACAUAUGUAUAUACAUAUACAUAUAUAUUAGAAUAACUUUAAUAUAAUAGCUUGAGAAUACCUGACGAGUGGACAUAUUGGUAGGUAUUGGUGAGUUCCCUAUUUGUUGUCUUUUUUUUUUUUUUUUUUUCUCCUUCGGUUGCUAUUAAGUUGGACUUCUGGCUAACGUUAACGUUAAAAAAAAAAUAAAAAAAUAAACAUCAUAGUCACGUUAGAGUGUUUCAACUAACUCGCUUUAGCAAGUUCGGUCAUGUCGUCGAUAAUGUUGGAGAAGGUAGGAAGUGGUAAGCGAUAGGAAACUUAUCUUAUUUAGAAAGUUAAGGCAGGAACCAACCACACACACACACACACACAUAGUAGACAGUUGAUGCUGCUCUAAAGCCACAAGGAAAAGGUGAAUUGAAACGAACCUGUGACUGAUAUUCUCUUGCUAGUUUUCUUCUGCUAGUUUCCACCUGAACCAUUUGCUUUCUUGCUCAGCAAAUGUCGACUAAUUUAAACAAUCCGAAUACUACUCUACUGAGCUCUAACCCUAAUCUAAGGAUUCCAUAAAGGAUGAGUUUUAUGCGACACAAAUCAUCUAACCAGGCAAAAAGCGACUAUAUGAUGUCGAGAUCCGUCUUUUCACACUGAGGACGACCGAGGGACUCGUACACGACUAUUACAUAAGGUGCAAACGUUCACUGAUGCUCAAGAAGGUAACAUGAUACAUUAAGAGCCAGGGGGGUGUAAACUUUUGAACAUGGCGAUCGGUGUAAAUUAUUAUUUUGUUUUCUGGGAAGCAUGCAAAUAUCUUAUGUAGCUUCUGAAGGGCAGUACUAAAUGUAAUGUAUAAAAAAUGGACUGUUUUGUAAUAGUCGUGUACGAGUCCCUCGGUCGUCCUCAGUGUAAAAAGAUGGAUCUCAACAUCAUAUAGCCGCUGCUGGAAAAUACAAAAAAUCAAAAUGCAAUUUUUAUGAUCCCUCUUUUUUUUUCCUGCAAGGUUUAUGUAAACUUGUGACCUGCUACUGUAUUUAUGAUGGGUGUAGCGAUUCUGUUGCUAAGUUGUUAUUUCCGUAUGGUUGUCUGCUGUAUUGAUAUCACAGAAGGACAUUGUAACCGGCACAGCGCGAAUUAGCUUUUUUUUUUUUUAGUCCGUCACCAUUUUCUAGCUACGCCACAGUAAUGAGAAAUCCAGUGCGCAAGCUGCGGAGGUGCCCGCGGUCGUGUUGGAAACGAAAUCCCGGAAUUAGUUAGAGAUCUACGAGAUGACCAGUACGAUGGCAUUGACGCCGUUAUUACCAUGCAAGUCUGAAGCUUUUGGAAAAAAAGCUUAUCCGUUCUGCGUGUACAGAUGAGAGAGCAGGAUAGACUAAAGGAUUCAAG
ensembl:lncRNA